rnacentral:rRNA from 1 species
GACGAACGCUGGCGGCGUGCCUAAUACAUGCAAGUCGAACGCAGUGGGGACGGGUGAGUAACACGUGGGUAACCUCCCAUCAGAGGGGAUAACACUUGGAAACAGGUGCUAAACCGAUACUGAUGGAUGGACCCGCGGGGCAUUAGCUAGUAGGUGGGGUAACGGCUCACCAAGGCGACGAUGCAUAGCUGGCCUGAGAGGAUGACCGGCCACACUGGGACUGAGACACGGUCCAGACUCCUACGGGAGGCAGCAGUAGGGAAUAUUCGGCAAUGGGCGAAAGUCUGACCGAGCCAUGCCGCGUGAGUGAAGAAGGUUUUCGGGUUGUAAAGCUCUGUUGGUGGGGAAGCGGUACCUAACGAGAAAGCAACGGCUAACUACGUGCCAGCCGCCGCGGUAAUAC